rnacentral:rRNA from 1 species
AUGGCUCAGCCGGAGCAGAGCGAGCAGCCAUGGGAGUACACCCUGCGGAAGUACCUCCUGCUGCUGGCCACCCUGGUGGUCAACGUGACGUACGCCGCGGGCUUCAACCCGCCGGGAGGGGUCUGGCAGGCCGCCUACGACGGCCAACCCGCCGGCGACCCGAUCAUCCGCGACACCCACUACCACCGCUACCUCGCCUUCUUCUACUGCAACGCCACCGCCUUCGCCGCCUCGCUCGUGGUCAUCGUGCUCAUCCUCAUCCUCGCCGUCCGGCACGACAAGGAGAAGGAGAAGAAGAAGAAGGACGCCGUUCAGGUCAUCAAGCCACUGCGGGUCGUCAUGGUGUUGGACCUGCUCGGCCUCGUGGGCGCCUACGGCGCUGGAACCUGCCGGGAUAGGAUUUCCAUCAUCUACACCGCGGUUCUGGUGGCCGCUGUCUUCGCCUACAUUGUAGUUCUCAAGUUGCUGGACCGGUGUCGUCCAAACAAGAACCCCGGCUCUAGCUCCAGCGGCGCCACCCCCAUCUCUGAAACCAACAACGGGGUCAGCGCAACUACCACCCCUGACCUCGAAUCUGACCGCAAGGUCGCUGAAAAGGCGUUGAAAACCGAAGAACAGCUCUGCAAGGUCCUGAUGCUUCUCGCGACGUUCGCGGUGAGCAUCACAUACGUCGCCGGACUGAGCACGCCCGGUGGCUUCUGGGACAGCACCGGCGGCAGGCAUCACCCUGGCGACGCGAUUCUCAGGGACCAACGCGGCCAGCGCCUGACCGCGUUUUUCCUCUUCAACACCACGGCGUUCGUGGCGUCCCUGCUCAUCGCCAUGCUGCUCAUCAUCGAUGGAAAGAAGCUCCGUGACAAGACGGCUCGGUUUCACGUGCUCUAUGUGUGCAUCUUUGCCGUGCUUGUUGGCCUCCUCGGCGCAUACGCUGCCGGGAGCUGCAGGAAAACCGACACCACAGUCUACGUGGUCUCCCUCGUCGGCGCCGUUCUUGCAUACAUUCUCCUCCAUCUCUUCUGCAGGUCAGCGUUAAAAUUACUGUCUUAUUGUUUCAGUCCAGCAUACAGCCUCCUCCAUGGCUUCUGCAGUUCAGCGUCAAAAUUAUUUCCUUGUUGUUUCAGUCCAGCCCAACAAAAUGAUGGAAAUCAACAGAGUAAUGAUGCUAGUGGUAGGGAGGCUCUGGACAAGGCUCGCUCUCUUGUUCUACUGCUCGCCACUCUUGCCGCCACCAUCACCUACACAGCGGGGUUGGACCCGCCGGGUGGCGUUUGGCAGGACAACGGUGACGGGCACAUGGCUGGCGACCCCAUCCUCCUCGCGACAAACGCUAGGAGGUACAAGGCCUUCUACUACUGCAACUCGGUUGCGUUUGUGGCCUCAUUGGUGGUCAUCAUCUUGGUCCAGAUGGAGAAGCUGGUCAAGCACCAUGUGCUGGAGGCAGCCAUGAUACUCGACCUGUUUGGCCUCAUCGGUGCAUAUGCCGCUGGGAGCUGCCGGAACGUGAAUACCUCCAUUUACGUCAUGGCUUUGGCAGGGGCUGUCUUGAUCUAUGUGGUGAUCCAUGUUGUCUUCUUCACGCUGGAUCACAGGGACCAAAACAACAACGACCAAGAAGAUCAGUUGCUGGAGAAGAAGCGCAAACGGUUGCUCCUCUUCGCGAUCUUGACCGCGACCAUCACCUACCAAGCCAGCCUCACCCCUCCUGGUGGCUUCCUGCUGCAGGACGACAAGCUCGGCCACCACACCGGUGACCCGGUCCUCCUGUACAACUACCCACGCCGCUACCAUGCCUUCUUCUACUGCAACUCGGUGAGCUUCAUGUUGUCCAUCGCGCUCAUCAUCCUCCUGGUGAACCCCAAUCUGUACAGGCCAGCAAUACGAAGCAAUGCACUAUCUGUUUGUACGGCGGUGGGCUGUUUUUGUUUGAUGGGGGCCUACGCUGCCGGAAGCACCCAACACAUCAAGACAUCCGUCUACAUCUUCGUGUUGGUGGCUGUGGUCCUCUGUGUUGCAGCAGGACUGCUGCUAGUAUUUUUGUUGAGGGAGCUGAACAAAAAUGGUGCAGCACCUGCUGCGCCAUCCAGACCCACUGGACAGGAGGGCGGCCAAGAAGAAAACAGAAAUGGCAUCUCAGCAGCUGAUGUGCCAUCCAGACCCACUGGACAGGGGGACGAAGAAGAAGAAAACAGAGAUGGCAUCUCGGCAGCUGAUGCACUAUCCAUACCUAUUGAACAGGAGGAAGAAGAAAAAGCAAAGAAUGAAAAGAGGAAGAACCAUGCAAGGCGCAAAUACCUGAUGCUGCUAGGUAUCUUGGUGGCGAGCGUAGCCUACCAGGCUGGCCUAGAACCCCCCGGCGGGACGUGGCAGAACAACGACAACAGGUACAAGGCGGGCAACCCGGUGAUGCAUGACAACAUGAGGCCCCGGUACCUUGUCUUCUUCUACAGCAACUCCAUUUCCUUUGUGGCUUCCAUCGUUGUCAUCAUCAUGCUGCUGCCGCAUUGGCUGCCAGACGAGAGGGAAGAAGAAUGGAAGACAUGGUCGCUGAAGGUGAUGAACCGGGCGAUCAGACUGGAUCUGUUUGCUCUCCUGGUGGCCUAUGCAGCCGGCUCCAACAGGGGGUGGAAGACGUCUGUGAUUGUGGUCACGCUCAUCAUCGCCGUGCUGAGCUACUUUGCAAUCCAUAUGAUACUAUCAUGCACCGUUUGUCAAGGUAAGAAGACCCAAGGCACAUCUGCAAGCUUACAGCAUGUUGCCAUGACGCAUAAGAGCAGCAACCAGAAUCCUCCAGCACAGCGUGAUUCAUUAUCAGUGUGA